rfam:Methylomicrobium album BG8 chromosome, whole genome shotgun sequence.
UAUCUCCUGCAGCGUUCGAAAUGUAUUGGGUGUUUCCUGAACCUAUUUUUACCCCGGGGGCGAACAUCCGGCAAUGGUGAGCAUGCCCGUACUUGUCGGGAAGCCUGAUUUACCGAUCCAGCCUCCACUUGAACCUACGGUUCAAGGACGAAAGUACGUUACGGCGCAGGCGGGAGAUGC